GUUGAAUUAAUAAAAACUGAACUUUAUAUAAGCCUCAGCUACAGAGCAUUAUGCUGGUGAAGAAUUUCAGGUGCAAAUAAUCAGAGAUUACUACACAUGAGGGAAUUCACCAGUGGUCAUGAAUACCCUCAAUCUACUUCCGUGAGGCACUUAGAAAAACGUUGCUUGAUAGCAAACACUGAGGAGCAACUGCAAGCUCUCACGUAGAUCCUUACUGGAGAAACAGGGUGAAAAUACGCAGAGGUAACUCGAGACACCGAAAACUGCUAACAGAUGAAAAUUGACAAGUUGUGGGCUGAGAGUGAGACUAUGAGAAUGCAGUAUUUACUAAUGCAAUCCACCUGAAUGCAAGUAUUUGCAUAGAAAGACUCCACUGUUCUGUUAUUUUAACAACAAAUAUUUUCCAGCUGCAUAAAGAACCGUUUAAUAUUUUCAAAGUAACAUGUCCUCAGGCAAUUUGUUUAUUUACAAGUGCAAUCCAAAAAUUAGCUAGGAAUAUAUUUACAUCUUGUAUACACAGGCAAGCAUUUAGCACAAGAUGCUAAGAACACAAAUAAAAAUCCAUACAUUAAAAGUUUUUAGAUCAAAAUAUUUGCCUUUUAUUCUUAUCCUUUCAUU